rnacentral:lncRNA from 1 species
GCUAACUUCAGGUAAACCAUGCUUCUGGGCUGCAGGAUGCCUCCUGAGAGGGUGGACUACUCUGCUGGAUGGCUUUCCUUUGCCAACCCACUCCUUCCCAGUUGUGCCUCUGUGGACACCGACUUCUGUAGCCCUGUGAUGAACAACUCCAGCAGCCAGGCUCGAUCUGUUUUUACCUCUGUGUGAGAUCUCCCUGCUUUCCUCCAGGUACGCCUCUCCCUACCUUCUUCACGGGGCUCCAUCUCCCUGUCUGCUGGGCCACGCUUAAGCUUCCGUU